rnacentral:rRNA from 1 species
UGGGGAAUUUUGGACAAUGGGCGCAAGCCUGAUCCAGCCAUGCCGCGUGCGGGAAGAAGGCCUUCGGGUUGUAAACCGCUUUUGUCAGGGAAGAAAUCUUCUGAGUUAAUACCUCGGGAGGAUGACGGUACCUGAAGAAUAAGCACCGGCUAACUACGUGCCAGCAGCCGCGGUAAUACGUAGGGUGCAAGCGUUAAUCGGAAUUACUGGGCGUAAAGCGUGCGCAGGCGGUUUUGUAAGACAGAGGUGAAAUCCCCGGGCUCAACCUGGGAACUGCCUUUGUGACUGCAAGGCUUGGUGCGGCAGAGGGGGAUGGAAUUCCGCGUGUAGCAGUGAAAUGCGUAGAUAUGCGGAGGAACACCGAUGGCGAAGGCAAUCCCCUGGGCCUGCACUGACGCUCAUGCACGAAAGCGUGGGGAGCAAAACAGGAUUAGAUACCCUGGUAGUCCACGCCCUAAAACGAUGUCAACUGGUUGUUGGGAAGGUUCCUUCUCAGUAACGUAGCUAACGCGUGAAGUUGACCGCCUGGGGAGUACGGCCGCAAGGUUGAAACUUAAAUGAAUUGACGGGGUCAUAGCUGUUUCCU